rnacentral:rRNA from 1 species
CCUACGGGUGGCAGCAGUAGGGAAUAUUGCUCAAUGGGGGAAACCCUGAAGCAGCAACGCCGCGUGGAGGAUGAAGGUUUUCGGAUUGUAAACUCCUUUUGUUAGAGAAGAUAAUUACGGUAUCUAACGAAUCAGCACCGGCUAACUCCGGGCCAGCAGCCGCGGUAAUACGGAGGGUGCAAGCGUUACUCGGAAUCACUGGGCGUAAAGAGCGCGUAGGCGGGAUAGCAAGUCAGAUGUGAAAUCCUAUGGCUUAACCAUAGAACUGCAGUUGAAACUGUUAUUCUAGAGUAUGGGAGAGGUAGGUGGAAUUCUUGGUGUAGGGGUAAAAUGCGUAGAGAUCAAGAGGAAUACUCAUUGCGAAGGCGACCUGCUAGAACAUAACUGACGCUGAUGCGCGAAAGCGUGGGGAGCAAACAGGAUUAGAUACCCGUGUAGUC